rnacentral:misc_RNA from 1 species
AAAAUAUAAAAUUAAAAAAAAAAUCAAAAUUACAAAUUUUCAGUUCAUAUUGUAAAAAUAGAUUAUAACACUAUGCAACUCGCAUUACCUAUGGAUUUGAUCAUAGAUUCAAUUAAUAAGCUUAUUGAUUAUAGAUUGAACACCAUAGAAAAGGGGCAUGAAUGAUUAUAUUUCAACUUUAAGGUUACAUUUAUUUAAUGAAAAAUAAUUUGUAUAUUAAAAUAUUUUUUAAGAAAAUAAAAAUAUUUUUUAUUAUUUAA